GGAGCGUUUAUCGGAAUUACUGGGCGUAAGCGCACGCAGGCGGUUUGUUAAGUCAGAUGUGAAAUCCCCGGGCUCAACCUGGGAACUGCAUUUGAAACUGGCAAGCUUGAGUCUUGUAGAGGGGGGUAGAAUUCCAGGUGUAGCGGUGAAAUGCGUAGAGAUCUGGAGGAAUACCGGUGGCGAAGGCGGCCCCCUGGACAAAGACUGACGCUCAGGUGCGAAAGCGUGGGGAGCAAACAGGAUUAGAUACCCUGGUAGUCCACGCUGUAAACGAUGUCGACUUGGAGGUUGUUCCCUUGAGGAGUGGCUUCCGGAGCUAACGCGUUAAGUCGACCGCCUGGGGAGUACGGCCGCAAGGUUAAAACUCAAAUGAAUUGACGGGGGCCCGCACAAGCGGUGGAGCAUGUGGUUUAAUUCGAUGCAACGCGAAGAACCUUACCUACUCUUGACAUCCAGAGAACUUACCAGAGAUGCUUUGGUGCCUUCGGGAACUCUGAGACAGGUGCUGCAUGGCUGUCGUCAGCUCGUGUUGUGAAAUGUUGGGUUAAGUCCCGCAACGAGCGCAACCCUUAUCCUUUGUUGCCAGCGAUUCAUGCGGGAACUCCAAGGAAACUGGCAGUGAUUAACUGGAAGAAAGUGGGGAUGACGUCCAGUCAUCCUGGCCCUUACCAAUAAGGCUACCCACGUGCUACCAUGGCAUAUACCAAGAGAAACGACCUCGCGAGAACCAGCGGACCUCAUAAAGUAUGUCGUAAUCCGGAUUGGAAUCUGCCACUCCACUCCAUGAAGUCGGAAUCGCUAGUAAUCGUAGAUCAGAAUGCUACCGGUGAAUACGUUCCCCGGGCCUUGUACACACCGGCCCGUCACACCCAUGGGGAGUGGGGUUGCAAAAGAAAGUAAGGUAGCUUUAACCCUUCCGGGAGGGCGGCUUACCACCUUUGUGAUUCAUGAC
rnacentral:rRNA from 1 species